UGGUUUCUCUUCAGAUCGUAUAAAUCUUUUGCCUUUUACUAAAGUUUUCCAUGGAGAGGAACAAUUUA
rfam:Cathartes aura contig65803, whole genome shotgun sequence.